GACGAACCGUGCGAACGUUGUUCGGAAUCACUGGGCUUAAAGGGCGCGUAGGCGGGCGACCAAGUCGGGGGUGAAAUCUUUCGGCUCAACCGGAAAAUAGCCUUCGAUACUGGCCGUCUGGAGGGAGGUAGGGGCGUGUGGAACUUCCGGUGGAGCGGUGAAAUGCGUAGAUAUCGGAAGGAACGCCGGUGGCGAAAGCGACCUGCUGGACCUCUUCUGACGCUGAGGCGCGAAAGCCAGGGGAGCGAACGGG
rnacentral:rRNA from 1 species